rnacentral:ncRNA from 1 species
UUUGGGUUAAAAGGUAAAAAUCCCACCUUCGCUAAAGCUAUGGUGGGCAAAGUCGGGUGAAGUCGGUGUAAUUCCGACGCUGUGCCGCAACUGUAUAGCCAGAUCCCCGUAAUUCCGAUUGAAUCGGAACUUCCGAGCAGAAGCAAUUUUUAUUGACUUACUCCU